GUUGAACGCUGGCGGCGGGCCUAAUACAUGCAAGUCGAGCGAACAGAUGAGGCUCGUUCCCCUCUGACGUUACCGGCGGACGGGUGAUUAACACGUAUCUAACCUACCUAUAGGACUGAGAUAAGGUCGCGAAACCUAAUCUAAUACCGGACAAGAUAUUGAACCUCGUGGUUCAACAGUGAAAGCCCUUUCAGCUGUCCCUAGUACGUGGAUCCUCGCCGCAUUAGCUAGUUGGUAAGGUAACGGCUUACCAAGGCAACGAUGCGUAGCCGACCUGAGAGGGUGAUCGGCCACACUGGAACUGAGACACGGUCCAGACUCCUACGGGAGGCAGCAGUAGGGAAUAUUCCACAAUGGGCGAAAGCCUGACGGAGCAAUGCCGCGUGAGUGAUGAAGGUCUUCGGAUCGUAAAGCUCUGUUAUUAGGGAAGAACAAAUGUGUGAGUAACUCUGCCUGUCUUGACGGUACCUAAACAGAAAGCAACGGCUAACUACGUG
rnacentral:rRNA from 1 species